GAAGAUUGUAAAACAAUAGAAGACGAGCAGGUGUGUGUUUUGGAUUUUACCUUUCUUCUUCCUCUUUUUGGUUUGAUUGUGGAGGGAGGAGCUAAUCCAGACAAGUGAAGUGAUGAGAAAGAACAAAAAAGUAAAUAUGGAUUAUUCUAGAUGGACAACCCUUGAAAUAUAUACAUCUUCAUUAUUUGAUGACCAAAUAACUUUUCUGCUGGCCAUGUCCAUCAAGCACAACCCUUGAAAUAUAUACGUCUUGAUUAUUUGAUGACCAAAUAACUUUUUGGGGUUGUUCCUUUCCA
rnacentral:lncRNA from 1 species